rnacentral:rRNA from 1 species
UACAGAGGUGGCAAGCGUUGUUCGGAAUUAUUGGGCGUAAAGAGCUCGUAGGCGGUUUGUCGCGUCUGCCGUGAAAGUCCGGGGCUCAACUCCGGAUCUGCGGUGGGUACGGGCAGACUAGAGUGAUGUAGGGGGAGACUGGAAUUCCUGGUGUAGCGGUGAAAUGCGCAGAUAUCAGGAGGAACACCGAUGGCGAAGGCAGGUCUCUGGGCAUUAACUGACGCUGAGGAGCGAAAGCAUGGGGAGCGAACAGG